AUGAACACAUGCUGCACAACAAUGAAAAUAUGUUCACAAACAUGCAUAUACAUUGAACACAAGUUGACAAACACAUCAAUCUUGACAAAGAAUAGUUUUGACCAUGUUAACAAUCACCCAGAACACACAAGUCACAAAAAGAUGAGCAUUGUUUGCUGGUAUGAGAGACUUCAACUAGAUGGUCCAGAACACACAAGUCUGUAUCCAUGGACAAAGUGCAAGCUCCAAAAUACCCGAAACACCAAAUGGUCUAGAAGACACAUCAGAUCCAUGAUUACAAGUUGGUUGGUCCAUAAGCGCUACAAAGUCAUCACGUCCAUGUGCAUGAGUUGGCUAAGUGCCUGA
rnacentral:rRNA from 1 species